rnacentral:rRNA from 1 species
AGUGAUUUUUAUUAAAUUGCCGCAGUAUUUUGACUGUGCAAAGGUAGCAUAAUAAAUUGUCUUUUAAUUGAAGGCUGGAAUGAAUGAUGGGAUGUGAUGGAAGCUGUCUUUAUAGUGAUUGAUUGAAAUUUACUUUUUGAUGAGAAGGUUAAAAUUUAAUUGGUAGACGAGAAGACCCUAUUAAGCUUUAUUUUAGUUAAAAUCUUGAUUUAUUAGGAUUGGUGGUUGGAUUAUUAGUUAAAAUUUUGUUGGGGCAACAUUUGAAUAAUGUGAAAUUUUUGUAAAAUUGUGUAGAGAUUGAUCCGUUAUUAGUGAUUUUUGGAAUAAGUUACUAUAGGGAUAACAGCGUGAUUAAUUUGGAGAGUUCAUAUUGGUAAAUUAGAUUGCGACCUCGAUGUUGGUUUAAUGAUUCUGUAAGGUGCAGUAGCUUUAUAAGAA